UUUGCAUCAUAGAUGAAUGUGCUUUCAGCAAAGGAGUCCUUUGCUUGUUGAAUUCUCACUCUUGCAGCGACUUCACUCAUCCUUGAGAAAGCUUCCUGUGCCCGUUACUGAUGCCGCCACCCCACAGGCAUAUUUAUCCAGCAUGCCCAGACAGAAGCAAAAUGCAAGUUGUAAUUGCCAGUGCUUUGCAGAGUUGGUUUCCUAACCAAACACAGAAUAGCUUGCUUGCUUGCUUUUCUUUCCCUCCCUCCCUUCCUUUUCUCUUUUCUUUCUCUCCCU
rnacentral:lncRNA from 1 species